rnacentral:rRNA from 1 species
GUCUAAAGACAUACCACCCUGAACAUGACAGAUCUCUUCUGACCUUGAAAACUAAGCAGGGUCAGGCCUGGUUAAUACUUGGAUGGGAGAAGAAAUACCAGGAAGCCA